rnacentral:rRNA from 3 species
AGAGGGGGCUUAGUGGUGGGGUGACUGCGUACCUUUUGUAUAAUGGGUCAGCGACUUAUAUUCUGUAGCAAGGUUAACCGAAUAGGGGAGCCGGAGGGAAACCGAGUCUUAAUUGGGCGUUAAGUUGCAGGGUAUAGACCCGAAACCCGGUGAUCUAGCCAUGGGCAGGUUGAAGGUUGGGUAACACUAACUGGAGGACCGAACCGACUAAUGUUGAAAAAUUAGCGGAUGACCUGUGGCUGGGGGUGAAAGGCCAAUCAAACCGGGAGAUAGCUGGUUCUCCCCGAAAGCUAUUUAGGUAGCGCCUCGUGAAUUCAUCUCCGGGGGUAGAGCACUGUUUCGGCUAGGGGGCCAUCCCGGCUUACCAACCCGAUGCAAACUGCGAAUACCGGAGAAUGUUAUCACGGGAGACACACGGCGGGUGCUAACGUCCGUCGUGAAGAGGGAAACAACCCAGACCGCCAGCUAAGGUCCCAAAGUCAUGGUUAAGUGGGAAACGAUGUGGGAAGGCCCAGACAGCCAGGAUGUUGGCUUAGAAGCAGCCAUCAUUUAAAGAAAGCGUAAUAGCUCACUGGUCGAGUCGGCCUGCGCGGAAGAUGUAACGGGGCUAAACCAU